rnacentral:lncRNA from 10 species
GCCGGACAUGGUGGUGUGCGCCUGUAAUCUCAGCUACUUGGGAGGCUGAGGCAGGAGAAUCAAUUGAACCCGGGAGGUGGAGGUUGCAGUGAGCUGAGAUCACACUACUGCACUCCAGCCUGGGUGACAGAGCAAGACUCUGUCUCAAAAAAAAAAAAAAAAGACAUGUUCUCACUCUGUUGCCCAAGCUGGAGUACAGUGGCCUGAUCACAGCUCAUUGCAGCCUCCACCUCCCUGGGCUCAAGCGAUCCUCCCGC